ACAGCCCGCAGGUCGAGGUAGACGACGUAGAAAGAAUCCUACGGCUUCCAUCGGCAAACAGCUGAGGCUUCUUCCUCCUAUCGGGGGCCCUAACCCCGAGGGAUCGUUCGAGUCGACUCGAGUCGAGACGAGUCCUGUAGGUCUCUUUGGAAGAUCGUCUGGAACAGACAGCUGACUGGACAGGCGCUGCAUUGAAUCUCUUGAACAUUCUUCCGAAGGAAGGAUAAAUGAAACACUCUUUAUCUUGUGCACCGGGAAAUGAGGCGCGGAUGAGGGUCUCGCGAAGGUUGACGUAAGAAGAAAUGGAACGCCACGCUUGGAUGAAACGGAAAUAGAAAGUUCCUGGGAAACUGGUGUAACAGAUAGCGAAUGUGGCUCCUGAGAAUGUAGCAGUUGCCAGGUAGUCUUCGUUCAGUGUCCCGCACC